GCCGGAGGGAGCGGGCCGGCAGGAGAGGGGCUGCUUCCAGCUGGCUGCAGUGCGGACGGGACCGGCGCGCUCCCGUGGCCCCCAGACCGAGGUGGUCAAACCUGUCCUGACACCCAGAGGUCUGCAUGAGGGGUGGCCACUGAAGGAGGAGUUCUCAAAGGCCACAGGUGAUGAAGAGCUUGGAUGAAUGAACUUCUGUCCCAGG